rfam:Felis catus isolate Cinnamon breed Abyssinian chromosome D4, whole genome shotgun sequence.
GCCUGGGUGGCUCAGUUGGUUAAGCAUCUGACUUCAGGUCAGGUCAUGACCUCACAGUUCAUGGGUUCGAGCCCCAUGUUGGGCU